rnacentral:rRNA from 1 species
UACGAAGGGGGCUAGCGUUGUUCGGAAUCACUGGGCGUAAAGGGCGCGUAGGCGGCUUUAUAAGUCAGGGGUGAAAUCCUGGAGCUCAACUCCAGAACUGCCUUUGAUACUGGAGAGCUUGAGUCCGGAAGAGGUGAGUGGAACUCCGAGUGUAGAGGUGAAAAUUCGUAGAUAUUCGGAAGAACACCAGUGGCGAAGGCGGCUCACUGGUCCGGUACUGACGCUGAUGUGCGAAAGCGUGGGGAGCAAACAGG